UACGAGAGGUGCAAGCGUUGUCCGGAUUUAUUGGGCGUGAAGCGUUUCGUAGGCUAUUUCGCAAGUUAUUCUUUAAAGACCGAGGCUUAACCUCGGGAAGGGGAAUAAUACUGCGAGAAUUGAGAUAUUUCGGGGUUACUGGAACUAUCGGUGUAGGGGUGAAAUCCGUUGAUAUCGAUAGGAACUCCAAGGGCGAAGGCAGGUAACUAGGAAUUUUCUGACGCUGAUGAACGAAAGCUAGGGGAGCGAAAGGG
rnacentral:rRNA from 1 species